rnacentral:tRNA from 1 species
UGUGGCUCACUUGGUAGAGCAUGGCACUUGCAAUGCCAGGGUAGUGGGUUUGAUUCCGCCA